rnacentral:rRNA from 1 species
GACGAACGCUGGCGGCGUGCUUAACACAUGCAAGUCGAGCGGUAAGGCCCUUUCGGGGGUACACGAGCGGCGAACGGGUGAGUAACACGUGGGUGACCUGCCCUCAGCUCUGGGAUAAGCCUGGGAAACCGGGUCUAAUACUGGAUAUGACUCCAUGACGCAUGUUGUGGGGUGGAAAGCCUUGUGCGGCUGAGGAUGGGCCCGCGGCCUAUCAGCUUGUUGGUGGGGUGANGGCCUACCAAGGCGACGACGGGUAGCCGGCCUGAGAGGGCGACCGGCCACACUGGGACUGAGACACGGCCCAGACUCCUACGGGAGGCAGCAGUGAGGAAUAUUGCGCAAUGGGCGAAAGCCUGACGCAGCGACGCCGCGUGGGGAUGAAGGUCUUCGGAUUGUAAACCCCUUUCGGGAGGGAAGAUGGGACGAGCAAUCGUUCGGACGGUACCUCCAGAAGCAGCCACGGCUAACUUCGUGCC